UACGUAGGCAGCGAGCGUUGUUCGGAGUUACUGGGCGUAAAGGGUGUGUAGGCGGUUGUUUAAGUUUGGUGUGAAAUCUCCCGGCUCAACUGGGAGGGUGCGCCGAAUACUGAAUGACUUCGAGUGCGGGAGAGGAGAGUGGAAUUCCUGGUGUAGCGGUGAAAUGCGUAGAUAUCAGGAGGAACACCGGUGGUGUAGACGGCUCUCUGGACCGUAACUGACGCUAGACACGAAAGCGUGGGUAGCAAACAGG
rnacentral:rRNA from 1 species